GAUGAAGAACGUAGCGAAAUGCGAUAAGUAAUGUGAAUUGCAGAAUUCAGUGGAUCAUCGAGUUUUUGAACGCAUAUUGCGCCCUCUGGUAUUCCGGGGGGCAUGCCUGUUCGAGCGUCAUUAAAUAACCCUCAAGCAUAGCUUGGUGUUGGGCUUUUUUACGUCCUUGACUGGGAUGGGCCUAAAAAUUAGUGGCGAUGGCUUUUUUACUUUCAAGCGUAGUAAAUCUCGUCUUGCUAAAGAGGAAAAAGAUUUUUUUUCUGCCAAAAAUUUUAACAUUUAAAGUUGACCUCGGAUCAGGUAGGAUUACCCGCUGAACUUAAGCAUAUCAAUAAGCGGAGGA
rnacentral:misc_RNA from 1 species